UACUGGUGCCUCCAAAUAUCCCUGAACAGGGUCAGAGAGACCGGUUCUCUGCUCUUGCCCAAUCCAAGCCUGUCACCCUGGCGCCUGAGCCACAGGCCUAGUUUCCUGUGGGGCUGACCCAGGGUCCCCAGCUCUGGCCUGACUUGCUUCCCUCUCCUGGCCUUCCUAGGGAGUAAAGUCCUCCAAGCAGCAUGAGGGGUGGCUCCGGGAGAGGCAGGAGAGCCUCCACUGCGACAGGUGCCAUCGAACCUCCACUCACUGCGCUACUGUGGGCCCCAGGGCAUUGUGUUCAGGAACUUCUCUCAUGAUUCCCAGAGCACGUCCGAUUUCACAGAUGAGAAAGCUAAGGCCCCAGAAGGGACUGUUGUGCUACCCAACAGGACUGAGACAGCCCAGGGGGGGAUCAGAGCUCGACUAAGUUUGCAAGGUCCCAUACGAGUUCCAGCCUCCUCUUUCUGGCCUGUCAUGACUUUGGACAGAGCUCCAGCCCUUCACAGGCCAUCUUCACCAAGUCUAGUUCCUUGAUAUGCCAGUUAUCUCCAUGGCCCGUUUUUCAGGCCACUCUAACUGCUCUGGUUUGGAGGGAAGAAGGGGGAGGGGUGUACCACCUGACCCAUCCAUCCCUGUGCCCGUCUCCCUCCACACCCAGGUCCCAAAUAACCAGGCCACACACCGAGUUUCAAGUAUCUGUCUCUUCCUUUCACUCUCUCAAAAGAAAAAAUAAAUAAAUUGCAGAAGGCG